UACGAGGGGGGGCUAGCGUUGUUCGGAAUUACUGGGCGUAAAGCGCGUGUAGGCGGGUCUUUAAGUCAGGGGUGAAAUGCCAAGGCUCAACCUUGGAACUGCCUUUGAUACUGGAGACCUUGAGUCCGGGAGAGGUGAGUGGAAUUGCGAGUGUAGAGGUGAAAUUCGUAGAUAUUCGCAAGAACACCAGUGGCGAAGGCGGCUCACUGGCCCGGAACUGACGCUGAGACGCGAAAGCGUGGGGAGCAAACAGG
rnacentral:rRNA from 1 species